GACGGCCUCUGGUAAAGGUCCUAUGCUUUAACGUGCCUUUCCUGGUCCUGGGUAAGUCCCCUAGCUCUUUUGACUCGGAGGAGCGGGACCGCAAGGAGCCGCGUUUAGCGCCACCCGGCUCUCCAGCGGGUGAUAGGGUAGAAGGUUUAAUUAAAACCUGAUGGAAAUCCAAACUGAAGUGUGCUUCUUUUAGAAAUUUGCAUCAAAUAUCAAGAAAAUGAACAUAAAUUCCUAGGUAAGUUAAUAAUGUUCUGUGUUAGCUUUUGUAAUGUUUGAAGUUAUAGUUCUUUCUAGGUCUAUCACCAUCUUUGAUGAUUAUAAACAUAAAUUUCUUGAAAUUUCAAGAAGACUGAACGAAUUCUUCUUUCCACCUACAACCAGCUAGACAAUGAAAUAGGGAGAGUGGAGACUAUUAUUUCUGUGAAUCAUUUUAAAUACUUUAUACUUCCCAAUAAGACUUCUCAGAACUAUGGUUACUUAUUUUGGUAAAUCACCCUUUUUUCCCAAGUACUGGGAAUUGAACUGAGGUUCUUUGCAGUGGGCUACAUCCUUAGCCCUUUUUAAAAAUUUAUUUUUCUGAUUUUGUGACACGGUCAGAUUGGGCUUUAGCUUGUAAUCCUCUUACACGAGCCUUCCAGAAUGCUGGGACUACAAAUAGCACCAUCACAUUUGGCUGGAUCAUAGAAAUUUCUGACAGAUUCUUGAACAUACAUGUUUUCCAUUAUACGUGGAGAUUUAGCUUAGUUCUUGCCACAAUUCACUUGCAGCCCUAUGAUACAUUUUUGGCCUGAAUUGUGCCCUUUUCAAGUAUUUUAUUCUGCUGUGUAUUUUCAGAGAUAACGAGAAGCCUAAGUCACUGUCUAUACAAUUUACAGCUGAGGAAGACAGCUUAAAUAGUUGUGCCAUAAGGAUGACACAGUAUGUGUACUAAUAAGUGCUAUAAUAGAAGUUCAAGCAGUAUGUGAGAGAACUGGAGUAGGGGAGAUUAAUUAAAGUGGAUAUUGCCCUGUGGUGUGAUCUAAUUCUAUUCUCUUUAUAAUAUCUAGGCACUUCAUGAUAUGUCUUUCCAGAUGCUUGGUGGUUUAAAAGACUAGUCACCAGAUAACCUGUUUGUGUCAUGGUUUCAAUUGAUUGUAUUGGUUGGAUGUUGUCCAGGGAACCUAGCUUGUUGCAGAAGGGACAGCACUGCAGAUGGCCUUCAUCCUUACAAACAUGUUAAUUGGAUUUUUGAGGAUUUUUGAGGAUUUUUGAGGAUUCCCACACCACCUAUUUCUUAGACUAAUUUUUUUUUCUGGAAUACAAAAAUCAGCCAUUUUGUCUAUUUAUAUUGGGAUUUAAGGAGAGGUAAGUAAUAUGUAUUCCUGAUUAUGAUGUCCUUUCUUUCAGAUAUCAAUCUGAUAAUUUCUUAAUGAACAUAAAAUCCAUACAGGUAGGUGAGUAUAACAUAAGGAGAGACAUAGGAAAUAGCUGUCUUCCAUAUAACAUAGUAGUUAAUGGAAUUCUUUUGAACCUUGUAACCUUAAGUUUCUUUUGUCAAGCCUGUUUUUCUUGACUGAUUUUUUUUUUCACUUUCUUUUUGACUAUUAAAAGCACUAUUUAAGCUAUUGUCCAGUUGUUCCUAAGGGCUUGGAAGAGUUCAGCCUCAUUAAUUACAUUUUGCGUGAAUAUUUUGACUGACUCUUAUUCAUCCUAAAUUUAUGCUUUCAUAGUAAUCUGUCUUUUAAAGUAUAAUAAAAGGAGCAUAACACUGGGUCCAGCAAACCCAUCCCUUACUUACCUACUAUAAAUUUUUAACUUAGCAUAAUAGUAGCUGUCUGUGCAUUUCAGUACCUUUUCCCUGAGGGAUACAGCAACCAAUCUGUGUUUACUCAUUCAGUAUGACAAGUGGCAGGGUGUUUGCACAUAUACAAAAGUAGCAAAAUGAGAUUUUUAUCUAUCUUAACUGGUUUUGCAUAUGUUUACCUGAGCAUCACAGAGGUCCAUUAGACCCACACCACUCCAAAAUUUGUUAAAAUUUUUUUCUUUUGUUUUUUUUUUUUUAUGGUGAAAGUAGCCCAGUUCAGUACAAUGGCACAUGAAAAAUCAGAAUUUAAAGUUUUGGAAAUUAAUCAUCAGAUUAAUCAUACCUGGAGAUGAAGAUGAUUUGUUAUGGUAAAAUGCAUGCUUUUAUAACAGAAGGUUGGUGUAGGUGGAUGAUGAUGAUGAUGAUAAUGACUGUCACUGACCUGUGAACCAAAGUUCCUAUGACAGUGAAAUGGAAUUAACUGAUAUAGACAUAGGGAAUGCAGACCUCUUUGACUCAGAUUAGGAAAAAAACAGCAAUGUGAGUAUAUAUUUGACUAGUUGAAAAGUUGCAUGCAUAUGCAACCAAAUGAAAAAAAUCCAAUGUUAGAACUAGGUCCAAAAAUAUAAUGAGGGUUUUGGCAAGUGUGAAGCUUACUAGACAGAAUGCUGGCACUGCCAUUCAGUGUUGUAAAUUUUAACCAACAGAAUGAUACAGGAUGCUGCGAAAUACAAGUGAAACAUUCUAUGUGCAUCAGUAAUGAUAUUAAAAAUGUAUUAUUAUGAUACCUCACUGAAAGUAUACAUAGAUCAGCUGUACUUAGCAGAGGUUUCUCACUGUAAUUGAGGGAAUAUAAAAGACUUAUGGAAAAGUAAUGGGUCAAAAUAUGGCAUAAAAAUUUAUACUCUGUAGAUGUGAAUACUUAUUAUGCUUUCAUUUUGACAUUUAUUCUGGAACUCAGCCAUAAGGUCCUUACUAGUAUAGUAAUAAACAGAACGAUGUUCUAAAGAGACUUGUUGCUCCCAUCUUCAGACUAACUGGAAUGUGACAUUUGACAAUUGGUUUACCAGUUUGCAAUUGAUGUUACAUUUGCUAACAGAGCACAGGUUGACCAGUGCAGGAACUGUACACAGGACUAACGCAGAAAUUCUACAUGAAAUGUUACAAUUUCAAGACAGAGAAUUGAUGGUACAAUCUUUGGAUUUCAGAAAGGUAUAACAUUAACCUUUUAUAUAGCAGAGAAAAGCAAACUGGUACCGCUGAUGUCAACAUUUGAUCAUGAUGGGAACACUUGACCAAACAGAAGCCUGAGAUGGAAACUUCUUACAACAAAACCAAAGGUGGAGUAGAUAUUGUUGAUCAAUUAUACAGCAACUAUGUUAUCACUCAAAACUUAAGACAUUAGCUAAUGGCUAUAUUUUACUCAAUCCUAAACAUGCAUGGCAUAGUUUGAUAGUUUACAAAUAAAAGUAAGAAGUGCAAAAUACUCUAUAGGCCCACUUGGUGGGCCCAAGGGAAAUUUUAUAGGGUGAGGUUCCAGUGGUAGAGAAUGCGUGUUGCAAAGCAUCAGCAACCACAGCAGGCAACAUGGAACAGAGCAGAGCACAAGAGCCUAAGAACAACUUGUAUCUUUAUUGUACAAUUUUUAUACAGGUUGUUAUCUCAUUAUUUGCAUGCAUACAUAGUGCCAUACCCAGCACAUGUGUGUUUACCUAUGUUAAGUCCUGGGUACGUAACUGUAUCCCACUGCGUGCUUGCACUCCACAAGCAGGGUCACAUCCUCAGCUGUUCUUAGAUGGCCCUGAGCUUUGAAGCAGUCUGAAUGGUUCCCCACUAUAAAGAAGAACUUUUCUUAAAGGAUUGGGACUGCAGCUAAUAAGAGAUCUUUUACAGCAGGGAAAACAAAAUGUUUCUUCCCAGGAAACUAUGAAAAAAACUGUGGAGCACACUGGUGAGGUGACAGGUGAACAGGCAGGUGCAGCAUCACAAAGACCUACUCAACAACAGGAAAACAAAAAGAUGUCAACUGUGCCCUACAAGAAAGAACAGGAAAACAAAGCAUACAUGCUGUCAGUGUAAGUGAUACUUAUGUAUGGACUGUGCAGUUGUCAUGUGUGAAGAGUCCCUUGGGUGUGACAGUUGAAGCAAAAAUUAUUUCUGUGGUAGACUCUUGUUUGUGUUUACACUAUAGUUCACAUAGAUUUUUAUUUUUGAUGUUACCUUUUAGGUUUUAUAAGCAAGCACACUGUUGAUGUGGAAAUGUUAAUGUCCUAAGCACUCAUGUUUUAUUGAUACCUUAUUUUGAUAAGUGCAUGUUGUACAGUAUAGUAGGAAACUCCAGACAAAACAGAAAGAGAAGUGACAAGACUGCCACAUAGGAGAAGGGAAAACUAAGUGCAUGUGCUGUCAGUGGUAGCUAGACAUGUUCAUGGAACAGAGUUGUCAUGGACAGAGAAGUUGGCAUGUAUGUCUUGGAUGACAAGUGAAGCAAAACUUGUUUGUACAGUGCUAUUGGUUUUUUUAUGUAGUUCAUAUAAGAAUUUAUUGCUGAUGUUAUAUUUUAGGUUUUGUAAGCAAGUAUACAGCUAGUAUGAAAAUGUUUGUCUUUCUAAAGGCACAAUACAUACUAAGAAUUUAACACUUUAUAUUAUUAUACUUUCUGUUGCUAUUAACUACACAAUGUGUAAUAUAAUGAGACCCUCCUGACAAAAUAGUGAGACUGCUGAGAUGGCAAGUAUGUUCUACAAAAAGGCCAGGAAACCAAAACACAUGCUGUCAGUGUAAGCAAUACGUGUACAUGAAACAUGCUGGUGUCAUGUGUGCAGACUGCUUUAGGUGUGAUAAUUGAAGUAAACAGGUUUUUUUUGUAAAGUGCUUGUGGUAGAUUAACUUAUGGUCAACUUACGACACCCUGCUGAACUAAAUCAGCCUGGUGCAGUGUGUGGAUGGCCCAUCUGAGGGUUGUUGCCAACAGCAUAAAAAAGAGAACUGAAGGGGAAGACAGUGUGCUGUUGAUUCUCUUGGAAAAGCUUGGCACACUGGCUUUCCUGAUAUGAGUUCAGCUAUUAUCAUCAGAGGAGCUCAGUCCUCACUGUCUCUGAAUGUGGCUGCAGUUCUCUUUGGGGGAGCUCUGGGCUUUACUUUGAGCAUCACUUUCUGGCUCAAGUGCAGAUCUCUCAGCCUGCCAGCACGGAUCCUUCAUUCCACUUUCUAGCUUCUUGUACUGGCCUUUGGGCCUUUCCCCUGCAGAUCCUUGAUACAGACUUGGAUAAGACAUUGUCAUGGGCUCCAGGCCACCAGCUGGACCUCUGGAGGACAUUGCCAUGGGCUCUAGGUCUUCAGUUGGACUUGAGAAGACAUUGCUGUGGGGCCCAGGCCCUUAGCUGGAUUAUUUGGGCCUCUAAUGUGUGGACAGAUCUCCCCCACUUUUUUGCAUUUAACUCUUUGGGUAAAUAUUAUAAAAUAAUCCUAGAAGUUAUGUGUCCAGUAAUAAAUCUUUUCCCUUGUAAAACAUAA